AGUAGUCGUCGUCGUGAACUCACUUAUUCUCUCCGUCGUUCGUCCUCGUGACAGGAGCUCUUCUCCCCGGCGACCCCCCGCCCUCACGACAGCCCGCCUCUCGCCUCUUCCGCCGCUCCGGCCCCGUAAGCCCCCUUCCCUCCCCAUCUCUCUACCUGUACUAGUCUGCGAUUGAUUUGCCGGCGUGGAGCCCUGGCGAUUGUGGCGGGCCGGCGGCGAGCGGGGCAGAGGCCAGCGCCUUAGCAGAGGCGAACAGGCUGGAGGCGACGACGACCGGCUGGGCGGGAAGGGGCAGCCAAGGGAGCUACGGAGGAAGAGCAGGCUGCAGACGACGGCAACGGCAACAUACAGAUCGUAGCGUCCGACCGGCCAGACCAAAAAAAAGUUACAUUGAAUACCCAGCAAAUAGGACCUGGCGCCGCCACUGAAUGAUGUUAAGGAGAUGCAUACACUUCAAGCGAUACCCGAAUGGUCCCAAUAACUUCCGUCGACAGGGUCUUCGGAUUUCAAAGCUCGGCGGAUUUCCGUAAUUGUUAGACAUUUGAAAGGCCUCGUGUAUCGGUUGCUCACAACAUAGUGGAAAGGACAAGACACGUAUAUGUAUGACAGCUAUAGGACGAACUUUGUUAUAGUGAUUUUUCUCAAGUUUUUUCACUUUAAGUUGCACAAAAUGUGCCAACGUUUCUGGAUUUACAGUUCAAGUAUGUAAUAUGAGCAUCUUGAUGAACCGUGGCUGCUGCAACAUGUAUGCUGGCAUACAACAAUGUUUUGUUGCAAUAGUUUUAUCGUAUGUUCUUUUAAUCCCUGCUUCA